rnacentral:rRNA from 1 species
GAUGAACGCUAGCGGGAGGCCUAACACAUGCAAGCCGAGCGGUAGAGUCUCUUCGGAGACUUGAGAGCGGCGCACGGGUGCGGAACACGUGUGCAACCUGUCUUUAUCUGGGGGAUAGCCUUUCGAAGGGAAGAUUAAUACCCCAUAAUAUACUGGAUGGCAUCAUCUGGUAUUGAAAACUCCGGUGGAUAGAGAUGGGCACGCGCAAGAUUAGAUAGUUGGUGAGGUAACGGCUCACCAAGUCAGCGAUCUUUAGGGGGCCUGAGAGGGUGAUCCCCCACACUGGUACUGGGACACGGACCAGACUCCUACGGGAGGCAGCAGUGAGGAAUAUUGGACAAUGGGUGAGAGCCUGAUCCAGCCAUCCCGCGUGAAGGACGACGGCCCUAUGGGUUGUAAACUUCUUUUGUAUAGGGAUAAACCUAGAUACGUGUAUCUAGCUGAAGGUACUAUACGAAUAAGCACCGGCUAACUCCGUG